rnacentral:rRNA from 1 species
GUGGGGAAUCUUCCGCAAUGGACGAAAGUCUGACGGAGCAACGCCGCGUGAGUGAAGAAGGUUUUCGGAUCGUAAAGCUCUUUCGUUAGGGACGAACGUGCUCUUUGUGAAUAAUGAGGAGUAAUGACGGUACCUAAAUAAGAAGCCACGGCUAACUACGUGCCAGCAGCCGCGGUAAUACGUAGGUGGCAAGCGUUGUCCGGAAUUUUUGGGCGUAACGCGCGCGCAGGCGGGAUAUCAAGUCUGUCUUAAAAGUGCGAGGCUCAACCUCGUGAGGGGACAGAAACUGGUAUUCUUGAGUGUCGGAGAGGAAAGUGGAAUUCCAAGUGUAGCGGUGAAAUGCGUAGAGAUUUGGAAGAACACCAGUGGCGAAGGCGACUUUCUGGACGAUGUCUGACGCUGAGGCGCGAAAGCUAGGGGAGCGAACGGGAUUAGAUACCCCAGUAGUCC